rnacentral:rRNA from 1 species
UACGAACCGUGCGAACGUUGUUCGGAAUCACUGGGCGUAAAGCGCACGUAGGCGGCUUGUUAAGUCAGGGGUGAAAUCCUGGAGCUCAACUCCAGAACUGCCUUUGAUACUGGCGAGCUUGAGUUCGGGAGAGGUGAGUGGAACUGCGAGUGUAGAGGUGAAAUUCGUAGAUAUUCGCAAGAACACCAGUGGCGAAGGCGGCUCACUGGCCCGAUACUGACGCUGAGGUGCGAAAGCGUGGGGAGCAAACAGG